rnacentral:rRNA from 1 species
UUGCACAGACGGUAGAGAUUCCGUCCCCACCGAAAGAUUUAAGAGCAGGGACACUUUUAGAAGGUCGGAGCCAGGUGUUGGUUCUGGUAGAGAUCGAGGGAAAUUUAGUACCGAAGUCCGGCUGGAUAAGAGGCGAGAAAAGCUGCGUGUAUAUCUAAGGUGCCCGUACCGCAAACCGACACAGGUAGGUAGGAAGAAGAUUCUAAGGCCAACGGGAGAAGGGUUGUUAAGGAACUCGGCAAGUUGACCCCGUAACUUCGGAAUAAGGGGUGCUCAUGAAAGUGAGACGCAGAGAAUAGGCCCAGGCAACUGUUUACCAAAAACACAGGUUUGUGCUAAAUCGAAAGAUGACGUAUACGAGCUGACGCCUGCCCGGUGCUGGAAGGUUAAAAGGAGAUGUGCAAGCAUUGAAUUGAAGCCCCAGUGAACGGCGGCCGUAACAAUAACGGUCCUAAGGUAGCGAAAUUCCUUGUCAGGUAAGUUCUGACCCGCAUGAAAGGCGUAAUGAUCUGGGCACUGUCUCAACAGCCCGCCCGGCGAAAUUGUAGUACCGGUGAAGAUGCCGGUUACCCGCGACAAGACGGAAAGACCCCAUGGAGCUUUACUGUAGCCUAAUAUUGGGUUUCGGUGUUGCAUGCACAGGAUAGAUGGGACGCUGGGAAGUGAGUGCUUUGGCAUUCAUGGAGCGGCCGUUGGGAUACCAUCCUUGCGACAUUGGAAUUCUAACCUGCGCCUUUGAAUCAAGGCGGGGGACAUUGUUAGGUGGGCAGUUUGACUGGGGCGGUCGCCUCCUAAAGAGUAGCGGAGGCGUUCAAAGGUUGGCUCGUCCUGGACGGAAACCAGGAGAGAGAGUGCAAACGCAAAAGCCAGCCUGACUGCGAGACUGACGGGUCGAGCAGAGACGAAAGUCGGAGUUAGUGAUCCGGUGGUAUGUGAGUGGAAAUGCCAUCGCUCAACGGAUAAAAGUUACCCUGGGAUAACAGGCUGAUCUCCCCCAAGAGUCCACAUCGACGGGGAGGUUUGGCACCUCGAUGUCGGCUCAUCGCAUCCUGGGGCUGUAUUCGGUCCCAAGGGUUUGGCUGUUCGCCAAUUAAAGCGGUACGCGAGCUGGGUUCAGAACGUCGUGAGACAGUUCGGUCCCUAUCUGUCGUGGGCGCAGGAUAUUUGAAAGGCGCUGUCCCUAGUACGAGAGGACCGGGAUGGACGAACCUCUGGUGCACCAGUUGUCACGCCAGUGGCACAGCUGGGCAGCUAUGUUCGGAUCGGAUAAACGCUGAAAGCAUCUAAGCGUGAAGCCGGCCUUAAGAUAAGAUAUCCCACUGAGAUAAUCAGGUAAGACCCCUUGAAGACUACAAGGUUGAUAGGCACAAUGUGUAAGUGGCGUGAGUCAUUGAGCAAGGGUGUACUAAUAGGUCGAGGGCUUGACCU